rnacentral:rRNA from 1 species
CCUACGGGGGGCUGCAGUGGGGAAUUUUCCGCAAUGGGCGAAAGCCUGACGGAGCAAUACCGCGUGAGGGAGGAAGGCUUUUGGGUUGUAAACCUCUUUUAUUAAGGAAGAAGAAAGUGACGGUACUUAAAGAAUAAGCAUCGGCUAACUCCGUGCCAGCAGCCGCGGUAAUACGGAGGAUGCAAGCGUUAUCCGGAAUUAUUGGGCGUAAAGCGUCCGCAGGUGGCUAAUCAAGUCUGCUGUUAAAAACAGAAGCUUAACUUCUGAUCGGCGGU